rfam:Oceanobacillus picturae, S1, WGS project CCAX01000000 data, contig: 000003
GUUAAAGGAAGGCCGACUAAAAACGCCCCGUCCUGGGGCAACGUCGGCAUGACCCGGAUCCUCCGGG